AUUGAACGCUGGCGGAAUGCUUUACACAUGCAAGUCGAACGGCAGCACGGACUUCGGUCUGGUGGCGAGUGGCGAACGGGUGAGUAAUGUAUCGGAACGUGCCCAGUCGUGGGGGAUAACGUAGUGAAAAUUACGCUAAUACCGCAUACGAUCUAUGGAUGAAAGCGGGGGAUCGCAAGACCUCGCGCGAUUGGAGCGGCCGAUAUCAGAUUAGGUAGUUGGUGGGGUAAAGGCCCACCAAGCCAACGAUCUGUAGCUGGUCUGAGAGGACGACCAGCCACACUGGAACUGAGACACGGUCCAGACUCCUACGGGAGGCAGCAGUGGGGAAUUUUGGACAAUGGGCGAAAGCCUGAUCCAGCCAUUCCGCGUGCAGGAUGAAGGCCCUCGGGUUGUAAACUGCUUUUGUACGGGAAGAGAUCCUUUCGGUUAAUACCCGGAGGGGAUGACGGUACCGUAAGAAUAAGCACCGGCUAACUUCGUGCCAGCCGCCGCGGUAA
rnacentral:rRNA from 1 species